AGCUAAGUAGUUUAUGUAAAACUUUAAUUUUGUAAAUUAAAAUUAAAUUAAGAAUUUUUUAGCUA
rnacentral:tRNA from 1 species